rnacentral:hammerhead_ribozyme from 1 species
AUCCAGCUGACGAGUCCUAAGUAGGACGAAACGCGCGUCAAACUGGAU